GACGAACGCUGGCGGCGUGCUUAACACAUGCAAGUCGAACGAUGAAGAAAAGAUUCGAAGCUUCGGCAGAAAUUCAUUUCGGAUUAGUGGCAGACGGGUGAGUAACGCGUGAGCAACCUACCUCUUACAAAGGGAUAGCCUCGGGAAACCGGGAUUAAUACCAUAUAACAUUGCGACGAAGCAUUUCGAUGCAAUCAAAGCUACGGCGGUAAGAGAUGGGCUCGCGUCCCAUUAACCGGAUGGUGAGGUAACGGCUCACCAUAGUGACGAUGGGUAACCGGGCUGAGAGGGAGAGCGGUCACACUGGAACUGAGACACGGUCCAGACUCCUACGGGAGGCAGCAGUGGGGAAUAUUGCACAAUGGAGGGAACUCUGAUGCAGCGACGCCGCGUGAGUGAUGAAGGAAGUCGUUUCGUAAAACUAUGUUCUAUGGGAAGAAAAGGACUGUACCAUAGGAGAAAGCUCCGGCUAAAUACGUG
rnacentral:rRNA from 1 species